rnacentral:lncRNA from 1 species
UGGGAGCAGGAGAGCAGAGCUCCUCAAAACAAUUUGGCAAGAAAGCACCUAGGAAGCAGUUGUUAGAGAACAGGGAUUGGUAGGAGAUUCUAGCUAUCAAGUUCUAAGCUAAUAGGUAACUUAUAUCAUGUAUGAGUUUUCGAUGUGGUUUUGCAAGGAUUGAACGAACAAUAAACCUCAGUGUAUAGAAAAUGUUUCACAGGAUAAACCAGUUGAGGGGUUGGAAGGAGUGAAUUUGAUAAAUGUUAUGAAGAUAAUGGGAAACCUGGCAGGUUUUAUGAAAAGUAGUAUGCCUUGCCUAAGAGGACAUUGACAAAACUAGUCCUGAGAGACUUCAUAUCAUAUCAUACAUAUUAAAGACCUCUAGCAGUUUGAUAUUGUUAGAAAGAAUCCAAAUAAGCCAUCAUGGCCAAUUAUGCUGUGUGUGAUAAUUGUUUGGGCUAAAUUGAAUGAACUAUGAGAAUUGGUGACUGAGGAAUAAAAGAUUCUAUUGGCUUUAGAAAGAUAAUGCUUUGAUUGGAAAAACUGAAAAAAAAGCAUUGUAAAAUGUAAUUUAAAAGCAAGGAAACUGAGUACUAAGUUUGUAAGGUGGGGAGAGGAGAUGCCAUUGUUUUUGUUUAAGGCAUUUGAAUGCAAGUAUCUUUGAUAUAAUGUUGAAAGAAAAGCAUUUUUGAAUGAUAAGGGCUACAAAUAAUGGAAGAAUGCUUUUAGAUGACACAAGUUGGUUUGGUAAUCCUCUUUUCAUUUUACUUUAAAAGCUAGUAGUUGUUUUAUCUACAAGUGUGAUACUAUGUUCCUGUAGAAAGGAAAUGUGCAAACCUAUUCUAAUCUAUGCUUCUACAAGUGUUAUUCUACUUCCCGUGCAUUGCAUGGGUCCUUUUCUUGUAAUCUCGUAUGCUCAAGCAUGCUAUUCUAUAAACUUGCUUACCAUGUAAUGUAUGCUAAUAUGUUCUUUGUUAUCUUUUAUCUUCAUUAUAAAUCAAGAUUAGCCUAAGUUGCUAAUUGUUUUUUUAAACUUAAGCAAAUAGCAUGAGACUAUGAACAUCUCAGUAUAAGAUUUCUAUUAUGUGGUCCAAUCAAAUUUGUAAGGGAAGCCUUAAACGACGGAUUGAGGAAAGGCAAAAAAAAUAAUCAAGUUAAAACUUGCGUGUGGGAUGCAGUUUUUCUGGAAACAAAUGAAAAUGAUCCCUCCAUCAAAAUUGAUCAGCUAUAGCUUGUUGUUAUUUUAUUUGAACUAGACAAAAAAGAUGGUUGAAAACCGACCUAAUAAAAUUAGAUUAGGAUGGAUAAAAUGAAGGGAUGCCUCUUGGCUGCUGCAGUUCUUCUGGAAAUGAAUGAAAAUGAACUCUCCAUCAUAAUUGAUUAGCACUAGCUUGUUAUUGUUUUGUUUGAAGUAGAUGAAGAAUAUGGUUGAAAACAGAUCUAGUAAAAUCAUAUUAGGGUGGAUAAAAUGAAGGGAUGCUUCUUGGCUGAUGUUUGCAUACUGCUUGCUCUUGGGACUUGAAGGAAAAUGCAUGUCAAAUCUGAUAAGAUUUGAGAAGGGUGGAACAAAUGAAGGGGUGCCUCUUGGUUGAUGUUUGCACACCCAAGCUCUUAAAACUUGAAGAAAAAUGUAUGCCCAAAAAAAGUAUGGUAUUUGACCUUACAUGGUUUAGAAAGCUGGGCAAUAAUGAUGGCACAUGCAUGUAAAAUAAAGGCAGAAAUAAGAUUGCUGAGGUGGAUGUGGGUAGAACUUGAAAACCUAAGGUUAUAAAUGGACGAGGAGAAGAUGGAGACUAAGACUGCAUGCAGAAAAACACCAGGGUUUCAAUAAAGAAGGCGCCUCAAUUUGUUUUGGAGUGUUAGAGGGAGGAAAAUAACCUGGUUGGUGUAUAUGAAAAGUACUAGAAAAUUUGUGUUGAUAGGAGAGGGCAUCUUUAACAAGAGUGAUAGGAAAAAAGGGAUUUGCAAAGUUGACCCAGUGUUGCGAGGUAAGGGCUUCUUGGUGAUGGUUAUUUAAGUGGUUUGAAAGUUCAAACAGAUCUUUAAUCAAGUUAAAACAGCCGUUUAAACUCAAAUGGUACCAUUAGAAUUUUUGAUCUGUUGCCAUUCAGAUAUAGUAUACUAGUAUUUGUUGAAUGACCUUUUUAUGAUAAUCAUGGGUCAUGUAUGUAUGGAAAUAAUGAUUAACCAAAAUAAAUGACCAAGUGAUCUUAAAGCUGCCUAUUUGGAAAAAAAAUUCUCCUUGAACUGAAUUUCUAAGGAAAUUCACAUAUUUUUGGUUUUAAGUGUCAUGUUUCUAUGUUUAAAAGAUGAACGAUGGUUCAUUGGCCUCCCUUUCAUAUAUAAUUCUAAAUGAUGGAACUAACUUAGGUCCCUAAACUAGAAUAUAGUAAGGGUAAGGCCCUCUUGGGAACAUUUGUCAGAUGGUUUAGUCUGAUUUCUUAUUUAUCUUCCAUCAAGAUUAGGAAAGUAGAAUGCACAUGUUCAAGGAGGUGGCUAAUAUCAACGCCUUUGACAGAUUUUCCUCACUUUCUAAGUUUUCAUGUAAUAAUGCCUUUGAGACACUUCAAAUUAAAUUAUUGUUCUGCAUCUUUUACUGAUUGGCUCAAGAUGAUUGUUUAUAAUAAUGUUCUGACUUCACAGGUUCAAAGGUUAUGUUUUUGCUAAUUAUUAAAAUGUUAGGGCAAUGUUCCCACCAAAUGGCAACAGAUAACAAUGUUAUUCUCCAUAAACCCUUUUUUCCAUCAAUUUUGACAGGAGCCUCUUUUUCUUCUUCCCAGCACAAUUAUAAUUCACAAUCUUUCAUUUGUUUAGACACCUCAUGAGCUUAUUUGCACCACGGCAUUUUUCCUAUUACCAGAGUUAAUUUUAACCCAUGUUGCUGCUUUCUUUUAUUAUAGUUUCUUAAUAAUGCUUGGUUUAUGUACAACUAUUAGUUUCAAUUAUUUUUAUAUCAAGAAAGAUAUAAUAUGCGAGAAUUUUUUGCAUAAUUAAUAAAAGUUAACUUCAUCAUCUUAUGUAAUAGUGUUUAAGCUGGGAGUAUACACUUCUAUCUAUCCUUUUUUUUUAAAAAAAAAAAGACAUUACGAAAUUAGAUUUUUAAAGUGGAUAAACGUUCUCAAUAAGUUCAAACUUCCAGCUGUGACUGGAACUCCAUUUCUUUCAAUGAGUUGAUCAGGGCAUUUUUUCUCUUUAGAUACUUUAUGCAUUUCUUAUGCAUUAUAUGUUAAAUAUCAUGAUAAUAUUUACUUUUGAAACAUGAUGGGCUUGUGAUAUCUGUUAUGGUGCAAUGAUGGGCCUCCUCCACAUUGAUGCCUGAUGAUGCCUCUGCAAAGGUCGAAAACCGCCACUCAUGUAGAAGUAAAAAGCCGAAAGAGCUAUAAUUCAGAUUCUGCAGCCCCACAUGACAUUUUUGCUUAUUCUGAGGGACCCAACGAUGUUUUCUUAACUCAUUGGUGGGAUGCAACAAAGAAGAAAAGACCAACUCAUGUACUCUUCCUGGAGGUACCCUAACUUUAUCAGAAAAAUGCAUUUCAAGUUUCUGAUCUUUUAAGAAUUAACAUGAUGCUUUACCAUUUCUGAUGGUGAAUCUAGUUUAAUGACAUCUGCAGAUUGCCCCUCUUUGACUUUAUAUCGAUUGAU